UCUUGGAGAAAGGCAGCCCAGCUUCUGGAAGGGGAACAUAAUAUACUAUUUGAAAAGGUAAGGUCCAGAUAUAUUUAAGUUACUCUUUAUAUAAAAAUGAGUGUUCAUACAAUAUGUGCCGCAAAUGUGUUGAAGUUGGUGGGGAUAUUAAUGCUUAUUUUGCUUUGGCUACAUUAGCUAACUAGCACCAAUUAAUGGCCGAAUGUUUCGCAAUUUCAUCAGUUAAUGAACUGGCUCUUUUUAUGUAUUUAUUUGUACUCGUUUUUUAAGUUCUAAGUAAUAAGGCCGAUUUAGCAGGGCUACCCAAGCUGUAGCUAUUUAGCUAGCCAGGCUGGGUAAAUUAUCUAUGCUAAUGUGUUUUCAACAGAAGAGAAACACCUGGUGGGUUCUGGAGGGUGCUUGAAACGUUUCUGUCAGGCUUUUAUCCUCGCCUUGAAAAAAAGUGGUGAAGUGGAGCAGAGAGAUCGCCAUCUCUGUGCCGAGUUCCAAGUGCGGGUGUGGUGACGUAUAUCAUAUGCGUCGAGAGCAGCGAAGAGCUGUAGUACACAAAGCAGGUGACCUUGGGUGUCUUGAAAGGAGCCUCUAAAUUAAAUGUAUUAUUAUUUAUAUUAUUAAAGCGGCCUCAAAUAAAACCUAAAAUUAUCAAACUUCUUCACUGAAAUUUUUAGUUUUCUUUGCAUAAAAAAUUAUCAUUUAAAUCCACAAACAACAUAUGUGUAAUCCAGGGCAUAUAAAGACUGGGACCAGAAAAUAAUUAUUUUCUCUCCAUUGACACCCAUUCAUAUUUUUCGAUCUCAUAGGUCCCAUGAGCUCUACCGGAAAGGGCGUGACUUCGCCACUCUAUAACUCCUGGCAAAGGAAUAAUUAAAACUUUAACAUUAUCUCCAGUUUUUUUUUUUUUAGAUGAGGCAUCAUGUUGUUGAAUGUGAAAUACCAGGGUACCAAGAAGUACAUCAGAUUGCAGUCAGGCUUCACCUAUUUGGAAUUCAUCAAUGAAGUCAAAAGCAAGCUUGGUCUUCCUGAUGCGGCAGUGGAUGAAGACAUCCUUCUUGAACUGAUAAGAGUCCAAUCCUGACUUAUGCCUGACAGUAUGUGACAGCUUUCCAGUUGAAGGUAGGCCCAUCUGCUGUUUUUGCUGAACAAAAUGGUAGAGAUAGACUGCUGU
rnacentral:lncRNA from 1 species